GAUUGCCUCAGUAACGGCGAGUGAAGCGGCAGAAGCUCAAAUUUGAAAUCUGACCCCCAUGCUGGGGGUCUGAGUUGUAAUUUGGAGAGGACACUUCGGGUGUGGCCACGGCAAAGUCCCUUGGAACAGGGUGUCACAGAGGGUGAGAAUCCCGUUCAGAGCCGUUGGAGCCUUGCCCGUGUGAAGUUCCUUCAACGAGUCGAGUUGUUUGGGAAUGCAGCUCUAAGUGGGUGGUAAAUUUCAUCUAAAGCUAAAUAUCGACCGGAGACCGAUAGCGUACAAGUAGAGUGAUCGAAAGGUUAAAAGCACCUUGAAAAGGGAGUUAAAUAGCACGUGAAAUUGUUGAAAGGGAAGCGCUUGCAGCCAGAUUCGGUCACGGGGGCUCAGCGGGCAUGUGUUGCCCGUGUACUCCCCCGUGUUCCGGGUCAGCAUCAGCUCCGGCGGUUGGUCAAAGGCCCUUGGAAUGUAUCGUCCCUCCGGGGACGUCUUAUAGCCAGGGGCGCAAUGCAGCCAGCCGGGACUGAGGAACGCGCUCCGGCACGGAUGCUGGC
rnacentral:rRNA from 1 species